rnacentral:tRNA from 1 species
GGCUGUUAACCGCUUGGUCGGGGGUUCGAGUCCCUCCUCCUGAGCCAUUUUCUUACUAUCUAUUAAAAUUAACUAU